UACAGAGGUCCCAAGCGUUGUUCGGAUUCACUGGGCGUAAAGAGCUCGUAGGCGGUCUGUCGCGUCGGCUGUGAAAGCCCGGGGCUCAACCCCGGGUCUGCAGUCGAUACGGGCAGGCUAGAGUGCGGUAGGGGAGACUGGAAUUCCUGGUGUAGCGGUGAAAUGCGCAGAUAUCAGGAGGAACACCGGUGGCGAAGGCGGGUCUCUGGGCCGUAACUGACGCUGAGGAGCGAAAGCGUGGGGAGCGAACAGG
rnacentral:rRNA from 1 species